AUGAACGCUGGCGGCGUGCCUAAUACAUGCAAGUCGAGCGAACGGACGAGAAGCUUGCUUUUCUGAUGUUAGCGGCGGACGGGUGAGUAACACGUGGAUAACCUACCUAUAAGACUGGGAUAACUUCGGGAAACCGGAGCUAAUACCGGAUAAUAUUUUGAACCGCAUGGUUCAAAAGUGAAAGACGGUCUUGCUGUCACUUAUAGAUGGAUCCGCGCUGCAUUAGCUAGUUGGUAAGGUAACGGCUUACCAAGGCAACGAUGCAUAGCCGACCUGAGAGGGUGAUCGGCCACACUGGAACUGAAACACGGUCCAGACUCCUACGGGAGGCAGCAGUAGGGAAUCUUCCGCAAUGGGCGAAAGCCUGACGGAGCAACGCCGCGUGAGUGAUGAAGGUCUUCGGAUCGUAAAACUCUGUUAUUAGGGAAGAACAUAUGUGUAAGUAACUGUGCACAUCUUGACGGUACCUAAUCAGAAAGCCACGGCUAACUACGUG
rnacentral:rRNA from 1 species